rnacentral:rRNA from 1 species
UUACUAUAGCUUGACACUGAACAUUGAGCCUUGAUGUGUAGGAUAGGUGGGAGGCUUUGAAGCGUGGACGCCAGUCUGCGUGGAGCCAACCUUGAAAUACCACCCUUUAAUGUUUGAUGUUCUAACGUUGGCCCCUUACCGGGGUUGCGGACAGUGUCUGGUGGGUAGUUUGACUGGGGCGGUCUCCUCCCAAAGCGUAACGGAGGAGCACGAAGGUUAGCUAAUCCUGGUCGGACAUCAGGAGGUUAGUGCAAUGGCAUAAGCUAGCUUGAC